AAGGCCAGGCUGAAGACUUUGCCGGAUUAGCUGAGAGGUGGUGCAUGGCCGUCGUCAGUUCGUACUGUGAAGCAUCCUGUUAAGUCAGGCAACGAGCGAGACCCACGCCCACAGUUGCCAGCGUACUCUCUGGAGUGACGGGUACACUGUGGGGACCGCCGCUGCUAAAGCGGAGGAAGGAAUGGGCAACGGUAGGUCAGUAUGCCCCGAAUAUCCCGGGCUACACGCGAGCUACAAUGGUUGGUACAAUGGGUAUCUACCCCGAAAGGGGACGGGAAUCUCCUAAAACCAAUCUUAGUUCGGAUUGAGGGCUGCAACUCGCCCUCAUGAAGCUGGAAUCCGUAGUAAUCGCCGUUUCAACAGAACGCGGUGAAUACGUCCCUGCUCCUU
rnacentral:rRNA from 1 species